CCGAGAGAGGAGUAGAUUUUCGCUUCUCUCCGUCGUUCGUCGUCGCUUGAUAACCGCUCGCAUUUCUCACAGAAGUGAAAAAUGGGAUUGUCUUUCGCAAAGCUAUUCAGCUGGCUUUUUUGCCAAGAAGGAGAUGCGUAUUCUGAUGGUUGGUCUUGAUGCUGCUGGUAAAACCACCAUUCUUUACAAGCUUAAAUUGGGAGAGAUUGUCACAACCAUUCCUACCAUUGGAUUCAAUGUUGAGACCGUGGAAUACAAGAACAUCAGCUUCACCGUUUAGGAUGUUGGUGGAAAGGA